GUAUCUAUAGGGCUGGCCCCAGUCAUCAAGGGCUAGCAAUGAAUUUCCUGACUCAAAAGGGACACACUUCUGUCAUCAGUGACAUCACACCCCAACAAAACAUAACUUUAUAAAUACUUCAUAAAUGCUUCCCGAUGUGACAGAAUUGGAACGUCAAGAGUUUCUACAUUUAGAGCUCAGAGGUUAAAGAAGGUUUAUCUGCUCAGUGCAGGUAUGCGCUGCUUGUAGGUAUCUGGGCUGUUGCUAUUGUGGACCCUGAGCAAAGGAGUCAAGAAAUGGGACAUAAGCCAGCUAGAAAAAAAGGGGCCUGGGGCCUGCACAACAGUGUGGCUGAAUGACAUCAAAAGUGAUCCUGUCAGCAGGAGGAAUAGAGAAACCACUCCCAGAUUCCAUAAGGUGUAGUGUCCUUGCUCUGGACUCCCACAGCACCGCACCUGUAGGUACGGAGGUAUGCACAGAACACCGUGCGGUCGCCCCAACUAGACUGUGAGCUCUUCAAAGACAGGAAGUGUUUUUUCUGCUCUGUGCCUCAGUGCUCAGCACAUGACAUAUGCACUCAAUAAACUUUGAUGACUG